AGUGAGCGCUGGCGGUAGGCCUAACACAUGCAAGUCGAACGGCAGCACAGUAAGAGCUUGCUCUUACGGGUGGCGAGUGGCGGACGGGUGAGGAAUACAUCGGAAUCUACUUUUUCGUGGGGGAUAACGUAGGGAAACUUACGCUAAUACCGCAUACGACCUACGGGUGAAAGCAGGGGCUCUUCGGACCUUGCGCGAUUGAAUGCGCCGAUGUCGGAUUAGCUAGUUGGCGGGGUAAAGGCCCACCAAGGCGACGAUCCGUAGCUGGUCUGAGAGGAUGAUCAGCCACACUGGAACUGAGACACGGUCCAGACUCCUACGGGAGGCAGCAGUGGGGAAUAUUGGACAAUGGGCGCAAGCCUGAUCCAGCCAUACCGCGUGGGUGAAGAAGGCCUUCGGGUUGUAAAGCCCUUUUGUUGGGAAAGAAAAGCAGCAGGUUAAUACCCCGCUGUUCUGACGGUACCCAAAGAAUAAGCACCGGCUAACUUCGUG
rnacentral:rRNA from 1 species